ensembl:lncRNA
CAGACUGCCAUUUCCAAAGGCACGUUAAAAUGGACCAAAGUCUUAUGAAAAUGAUACUGUUAUGGGAAGAAGUAGUUAAGUCAGAGGGAAAAAUGCAGGAAGAAUGUCUGGAUGAAAAGAACAUAGCCAUUGAUUUGAAAACGAGCAAAUGUUGAAAAUAUUGCCAGUGUUUCUCCACUUACCCCUACAAAGCCAUAAGCCUGUGAAGUUGCACUGCAGCUAUCAUGAGAAAUGAAACAAUGCUCUUCAUCCUGGUUCCUGGAAAAAGACAGAAAUAUGGUAUUUCACCAGAAAAGUCUGUCCAAGUAGGAACUGCAAGGCGACUGCCCUGCCUGGGGAAAGAAAUUGGCAGCAGCUGUAAGUUCCUGUUGACCAUAAAAGCAACUAUUUGCAGAGAAGGGGAUGCAGAGGCUAUGGCUGCUACCUCCCAGUGCCCACGACAGCUAUGUCUAGCCAUAGCAGCAGCAUCCUGCAGGUUCAUCUGCUGACUGCCUCCUUAUUCUUGUGCAUCACGGCUGAGAUACUUCAGAGUCCUUGCCCUCAUGUUACUGAAAUGCUGAGCUUGGUUUCUUUGCUCAGUGAGUCAGAUCAGCUUCAGAGGCAG